rnacentral:rRNA from 1 species
CAGUCGUACUUGCGGACAAUCAGCCUUUUGGGUGUGAUUAUGUGGAGCGUGAGGAGUUAAUCACCCUCAUCUUUUCAUAUUCGUGCACUUUGGGUGUACUUGCUCGUGUGUAGGUUAACAUCAAUUUUGAUUAUCAUAAAAUGAUUGGAGGAAUGUAGCUUCGAUCUCGUAUUGAAGUGUUAUAGCCUUUGGUUGAUGUGAUGAUCGAGAUUGAGGAUUGCAACGGAUACCCUUCGGGGCUACCCGUCUGGUCUCUGAAAGUUGCUCUGGUGCUGAAAGCUUGCUUAUGGUAUCAAAGUUGACGUUCAAUAGGUUAGAACGGGAUAAA